GCAGCAAGAUCUUCCUCCUGAAUAUGAAGAAACAAAACUAGAUAUGGAAGAACCUCAAAAAGAGUUUAUGGACGAUUUCUUUAAAAAAAUAAAUGAUAUACAAAAGAAUAUACGUAGCAUUCAAGAAAAUGUUCAAGAAAUAAAAAAAAA
rnacentral:lncRNA from 1 species